rnacentral:rRNA from 1 species
AUUGAACGCUGGCGGAAUGCUUUACACAUGCAAGUCGAACGGUAGAGGGGGCAACCCCUUGAGAGUGGCGAACGGGUGAGUAAUAUAUCGGAACGUGCCCAGUCGUGGGGAUAACGUAGCGAAAGUUACGCUAAUACCGCAUACGAUCUACGGAUGAAAGCGGGGGACUCGCAAGAGCCUCGCGCGAUUGGAGCGGCCGAUAUCAGAUUAGGUAGUUGGUGGGGUAAAGGCUCACCAAGCCAACGAUCUGUAGCUGGUCUGAGAGGACGACCAGCCACACUGGAACUGAGACACGGUCCAGACUCCUACGGGAGGCAGCAGUGGGGAAUUUUUGGACAAUGGACGCAAGUCUGAUCCAGCCAUUCGCGUGCAGGAUGAAGGCCCUCGGGUUGUAAACUGCUUUUGUACGGAACGAAAAGGUUUCUAUUAAUACUAGGAGCUCAUGACGGUACCGUAAGAAUAAGCACCGGCUAACU